rfam:Spirochaetes bacterium RBG_16_67_19 RBG_16_scaffold_57181, whole genome shotgun sequence.
GGAAGCUGACGGGAUCUGGUGGUCCCCGCGGUCUUCAAAACCGUCGGCCGCGCCAACGCGCGGCGGCAGGUUCGAUUCCUGCCUCUUCC